UACAGAGGGGGCAAGCGUUGUUCGGAAUUACUGGGCGUAAAGGGCGCGUAGGCGGCCUUCUAAGUCGAACGUGAAAUCCCCGGGCUCAACCCGGGAACUGCGUCCGAUACUGGAAGGCUUGAAUCCGGGAGAGGGAUGCGGAAUUCCAGGUGUAGCGGUGAAAUGCGUAGAUAUCUGGAGGAACACCGGUGGCGAAGGCGGCAUCCUGGACCGGCAUUGACGCUGAGGCGCGAAAGCCAGGGGAGCAAAGCGGGAUUAAGAAACCC
rnacentral:rRNA from 1 species